rnacentral:rRNA from 1 species
UCCCAGACUCCUACGGGAGGCAGCAGUGGGGAAUAUUGGGCAAUGGAGGAAACUCUGACCCAGCAACGCCGCGUGAAGGAAGAAGGCUUUCGGGUUGUAAACUUCUUUUCUCAGGGACGAAUAGAUGACGGUACCUGAGGAAUAAGCCACGGCUAACUACGUGCCAGCAGCCGCGGUAAUACGUAGGUGGCAAGCGUUAUCCGGAUUUACUGGGUGUAAAGGGCGUGUAGGCGGGGACGCAAGUCAGAUGUGAAAACCACGAGCUCAACCUGUGGCCUGCAUUUGAAACUGUGUUUCUUGAGUACUGGAGAGGCAGACGGAAUUCCUAGUGUAGCGGUGAAAUGCGUAGAUAUUAGGAGGAACACCAGUGGCGAAGGCGGUCUGCUGGACAGCAACUGACGCUGAGGCGCGAAAGCGUGGGGAGCAAACAGGAUUAGAUACCCCUGUA